GUAUAAUUCAUACAGUGUGUAAUCUUUGGAGAUGGGAUUUUUUUCCACUCAACAUGAUUUUAUCAAAUUUCAUCCAAGUUAUGUAUCAAUUGUUCAUUAUUUUUUUAUUGUUGAGUAAUAUUCCAUGGUGUGGCUAUACUGCAAUUUUUUCUACUAUUCACCUGUUGAAGGAAAAUGGUUUGUUUAUACAUUUAGGCUGUUAUGUAUAAUGCUCCUGUGACAAUUCAUACAUAAGAUUUUCUGGUGAAAAAGCAUCUGCUUUUGGGCUGGGGUUGUGGCUCAGUGGUUGAGUGCUUGCCUAGCAUGUGUGAGGCACUGGGUUCGACCCUCAGCACCACAUAAAAAUAAAUAAAUGCAUUGUGUUCAUAUACAACUAAAAAAAACUUUUAAAAAGUGUCUGCUCUUCCCCUAAGAUUGGGAACAAAAUUU
rnacentral:lncRNA from 1 species